rnacentral:rRNA from 1 species
UGUGAGCUCGAUGAGUAGGGCGGGACACGUGGUAUCCUGUCUGAAUAUGGGGGGACCAUCCUCCAAGGCUAAAUACUCCUGACUGACCGAUAGUGAACCAGUACCGUGAGGGAAAGGCGAAAAGAACCCCGGCGAGGGGAGUGAAAAAGAACCUGAAACCGUGUACGUACAAGCAGUGGGAGCCCCACCACUAAGCCAGUGGUGAACUCCACAUACGCAUCCUUUGCUGAGGAUACGGUUAACGGAGCGAAAGCGACGUUCAACCGCAAAAGAAGCAGAGGGGGCUUAGUGGUGGGGUGACUGCGUACCUUUUGUAUAAUGGGUCAGCGACUUAUAUUCUGUAGCAAGGUUAACCGUAUAGGGGAGCCGGAGGGAAACCGAGUCUUAACCGGGCGUUAAGUUGCAGGGUAUAGACCCGAAACCCGGUGAUCUAGCCAUGGGCAGGUUGAAGGUUGGGUAACACUAACUGGAGGACCGAACCGACUAAUGUUGAAAAAUUAGCGGAUGACCUGUGGCUGGGGGUGAAAGGCCAAUCAAACCGGGAGAUAGCUGGUUCUCCCCGAAAGCUAUUUAGGUAGCGCCUCGUGAAUUCAUCUCCGGGGGUAGAGCACUGUUUCGGCUAGGGGGCCAUCCCGGCUUACCAACCCGAUGCAAACUGCGAAUACCGGAGAAUGUUAUCACGGGAGACACACGGCGGGUGCUAACGUCCGUCGUGAAGAGGGAAACAACCCAGACCGCCAGCUAAGGUCCCAAAGUCAUGGUUAAGUGGGAAACGAUGUGGGAAGGCCCAGACAGCCAGGAUGUUGGCUUAGAAGCAGCCAUCAUUUAAAGAAAGCGUAAUAGCUCACUGGUCGAGUCGGCCUGCGCGGAAGAUGUAACGGGGCUAAACCAUGCACCGAAGCUGCGGCAGCGAACGUAUCACUUAAAGCGAUUCAGCGGGUUACGAUUGACGGAGCGAAGCGACGUCAAAGCGUAUACAAAGUCGAGUCGGUUUAAGG